CGUGUGCUCUUCCGAUCUACUUAAUAGAGUCCUGCCGAUGUCAAUCUACCGUAUCACUUUACCCGUACAAUCCAAGAGAAUUCUCGACAACACUAAGAGCAUAUGUUUCAAAUUCGCUGUUUCCGAUGCUAAAAGAAGAUAUUAUCGCCUUAGGUCGAGGCUGACUCCUCUCCUCCCCCCUGCCGGUUUGCCGAAUGGUUCCAGCAUGGACAGAAAGAUUUCCGAUUUCGAGGCCUCGGUGGUCCGCUUCCGGGAUGAUCUCCGUCAGCGGCGUGUCGGAGAACUUGGGUGGAUCUUCCGUCAUCG
rnacentral:lncRNA from 1 species